UGCUGGCUGCACGGCGAAUGUAACACGUAGAUCAAUACCUUGCUGAAUUGACUUGCAGGCUGCCCCUGGCCUCCAGAGAGUGUAUUAACCACUUAGAGGACUCACAGCACCCAUGUUCCCUAAUCCAAGAUACCCAAUGAUCCCAGCGGUGUUAGCAUGUCUACAUGAUUACUGCUGAGAAUGAAGAAAAUUGGUGUUGAGUUAUCCCUCCGCAUAUUUCUGCCUCUCCGGAAUGACGUUGUUCUGUGUGGAGUGUGUGAGUAUGUGAGUGAGUACGGCAGAAGAGAAUGCGUUUUGGAGCCUGAAUCAUCUGAAUCAGCUUACUUCUGCCUCUUGUGAACUUAGGAAGUUGCCUAAACUUUUCUUCGAAACUCUCUUUCAUCUGAGGCAAAGAUACUGUCAUGAAAAUGUUAGGUAAGAAAUGUCACAUGCU